GCCUGGCAAGGGCCGGGCCUGCACGCAUCCUUCUCCUUUCUUCUUGCUCCUCCUUCCCGCACCAUCACCGACUCCCUUCCAGCAGACUAAUCGUUCGUGGCCGUCGGAAUCUGGGGCUUCGGAACGCGUCUAUUGAGGAUACGUUUCUUGAUAGCUGAACUAUAGGCAUCAAAUUAGUUCCAGUAGUUUCCUUUCGUUGCCCUACCAAUUAUGGAUUAUUCAGAAUCACCAAACUUAUCUGCAGAAAAUGAUGUGCUUGAGCCACUGUUUAUUGCUUCUGGUUUAUCUACUAUAAACGAAACUCUUCAAUGUCUUAUCGAAAUUGCAAAAACUUCUGACGGCCGGUUAAAUCUAGCAUCCAAAGGUGUUCUUGUACCACUUCUUGAAGUUUGCAAAACUCCAUUUCGAUUUUCUGUUCAAGAUCUUUUUUUAUCUGUUAAGCUACUCAGAAACCUCUGUGCUGGGGAGAUAAGAAAUCAGAACUUGUUUAUUGAACAAAAUGGUGCUGGGAUUUUAUCAGCCAUUAUUAGCUCCAUGGGGCUGACUUCUGGUUGCAAUAAUGAUUUGCUUCGUAUGUUGUUGCAAGCUUUGGGGAAUGUUUCAUUAACGGGCGAACAGUGUCAAGUUGCUGUAUGGCGCGAAUUCUUUCCUUUUGGAUUUCGGGAGAUUGCUAGAGUUCAAGAUAGGAAUAUUUGUGAUCCUCUGUGCAUGGUUAUCUACACCUGUUGUGAAGGUAGCGAUGAAAGAUUUGCUGAACUGCUUACAGAUUCGGGGCUGGAUAUCAUAGCAGGAAUUACAGGGACAGUUACAGUAGCUGGUUAUAGGGAGGAUUGGUUGAAGAUGCUCCUCUCUAGAAUUUGUAUAGAAGAAUCUAAAAUCUUGUCACUUUUCUCCAAAUUAUCUCCAGUCGUUGAACCUGAGAUUGCUAGUGACAAUUUAGCUCAAACUGAUCAUUAUGCAGCUGAGCAAGCAUUUUUGUUGAGAGUUCUUUCAGAAAUAUUAAAUGAGCAAAUGGGAGAAAUUGUUGUUUCCCCUGAAUUUUCUCUGUGCAUCUUUGAGCUCUUUAAAAAUGCUACUGAACAUGUUGAUUUUACAUUGAGGGGAAAGGCUCCGCUUCCAACUGGCUCAAUAGAUACCGAUGUAACGGGCUAUGCCUUGUCAGUUUUAAGAGACAUUAGUGCUUGUGAUUGUUUGAAAAUCUCAAGCCCAGAUGGAAAAGAGGAUGCUGUAGAGAUGCUACUGUCAGUCGGCCUUAUCAAAUUUCUUAUAACCCUGCUACGUGAUCUAGAGCUUCCAGCAUUGCUCAGGAAAGCAGUGAAAUAUGAUGGUGCCAAUGAUCGGAAAACUUCUGUCCCGCCCAUGUAUAACCCAUACAGAGGUUUUCGAAGAGAUUUGGUCGCCAUUAUCGGAAACUGCAGCUAUCACAGGAAGCAUGUUCAGGAUGAAGUCCGGGAACAAGAUGGGAUUCUUCUAAUGCUUCAGCAAUGUGUUGUUGACGAUGACAAUCCUUACUUGAGGGAAUGGGGUAUCUGGUCUAUGAGAAAUAUUUUGGAAGGAAAUGCGGAAAACAAACAAUUAGUAGCUGAUUUGGAGGUACAGGGAUCAGUGGAUGUGCCUGAAAUAGCUGGACUGGGCCUCCGAGUAGAAGUAGAUCCUAACACCAGCCGACCAAAACUUGUAAAUGCCUCAUAAAAGGUGAAACUCAAUGGAUAAUGAAACUAAAUCCAUCCAAGCAGUCCAGGCUGCAAUUUCCUACAUAGGCGACGAGGAAGUUUUCUUCGACAACAACCGAGAGCUGGAAAAAGAGAAGGAGCUCGAAAAGUUGAAACAAGA